GAAAUGAGAAUGGUACAAAGGUUGAUUAAAAACGUCUAAAUGCGCCUGUUGUGUUUUUUUCUCUCUCCAAACAUUGGUGUCUCGAUACCAAGUUAGCGAACGAUAACUGAGUAAAUAGUAUUAACUCCAAAUGGAGCAAAACUGACAUUGUUUUCUCAACAAAAGAUGAUGUUUAUACAAAUAGAUCAUCGUUGUGAACUUGCACUGUUGUCACGUUUAUGUCUAGCGGAUUUUCGUUCCCUUUGGUUUCAAAGAUAUCUUUAUAUAAUACUCCCGUCGUAGUUUCACAUUUAUCUUUUAUUUCAUUUAAUUGUGGAUAAUAAUGGGUAACGAGUAGCAGAACACAAAAAUUGUUUCAUUGCUUUUCGUUCUUAUUUGUAUGCCUAGUGAUGCCAAGUAUUAUUAUGUCAUAUAUACGUGAAACUAUGCUCUUGAUUAUGACUAAAAUUGUUGAUUUGGAAGGAAGUUACAAGAAAGACAAGUCAUGUUUUACUUUGUUCAAUAACAACCCAUCUGAGGAUCAUGUUGCUCGAAGUUCUCUCUUUUUCUUUUUUUUUUUUUUGUUUGUUUUUGGGAUUAAUUUGUUUAUCUAAUUUUUUGUUUUUGAGAGAAUAUAUUUAUGUUGCUCAAUGAAAAGAUUUUAUAAUUUCAGGUUGCGCAUUGGUAAGAGAAUCGAAUGAUAUGUUGCGCAAUGGUUGGAUUAUCGAAUACUACAGUAAAUAUAUCUUGAUUAAUGGCGGGACUAUAUUAACAUGUUCGGUUAUAAUUUAAUUAUCGGAAACACAUUGCACAAUGGUCAGUGUAUCGAAUAACAUGUUAAACAAUUGUAAGAGUAUUGAAUAAUGGUGGGUUUAUCGAAUUACAUGUUGAUCAAAGGUUGGAGUAUCAAACAACAUGUUCUUCAAUGAUUAUAUUAUCGAAUGAGAAGUUGCUUAAAGGUUUGACUAUGGAAUAAUAUAUUGCGCAAUUGUUGAAUUAUCAAAAAACAUGUUUCGAGUAUCGAAUACGAUGAUGCUCAAUGAUCGGAGCAUCGAAUGAUAUGUUGGUCAAUGGUUAUAUUAUCGAAUACAUAUUGCCCAAUGAUAAGAGUGUCGAAUCACAUGAUGAUG
rnacentral:lncRNA from 1 species